UCCAAAACCUCGAGAGGCCUCUUAGAAGUUAGAGAAGGUAAAAUUCUUACUGGGAAUAGGCCAGAACCAUAAUCUGAGCCUUCAGUCACUGCUUUUGCAGAUGUAUUUACAUUGCCAUUACUUCCUAAACCUAACUUGAAAUUACGAGUUGGACCAUGGUUUGGAGUAGACCAGUCCAGGCCCAGUUGAUGGAGUUUGAUAGCAGCAUCAAAGAGAUGGUGAUAACAUUCAGCCCGAAGAAUAUGCAACCAAGUAAGAGAAAGAAAGAAUACACAUGUUAUAUUUCUAUAUCUUAUAUAUGGACAUGGGAAAUCAAGUUACUACUUUCACCAUAAAGAAUACAUCAAUAAAUAUGCUAAAGAAGGUAAGAGGGAUGGACUGCUUAUGAGGAAGUCAAAACACCUACCAUUAGCAAUAAUGAAAGCCUUGAUCAUUCUGAACAUCAAAUGCCUACACUUUUUUAAAAAUUGAUGUUUCAUGUACGCAAACAAAGCUGUUACAGCCAAUGUUCCUUCUAGAAGGGAAGUAUUAGAGUAUAGAGUUGAACAAGUUAAAAGUACAGAGGCAAGAAGUGAGUAAUUGUAAUACUCAAAGGAAUCUUCUCAGUUUUUGGACACACUCAACGAAAAGUUUAAUGUGAUUAUUAACACAGGAAAAGGUUGAUGGCCUAACUUCGUCAUCUAUAGACGGUAGUAAACUUCAUAGAAAAAUUGACAGAAGGGAAAAAGAAAAAUGAACAAAUAAAAUCCUAGUAAAAUUUAGCACAAAAGAUCAAUUUGCUUCAAAUCCAUUAAUAAAUAUUGGAAACCUGAGUUUUAGCAUUGAUCCAGGAGUCUCCCCAAACAUAUAUGCCAUGAUUACGAACAAGCACAGCUGUUGCUUUUGGAUAGGCAUCUAUC
rnacentral:lncRNA from 1 species